ACGGGGUGCAGCAGGCGCGAAAACUUUACAAUGCGAGCAAUCGUGAUAAGGGAACCCCGAGUGCCUGUACACGCAGGCUGUUCAGAUGUCUAAAACACAUCUGGAGAAAGGGCCGGGCAAGACCGGUGCCAGCCGCCGCGGUAAUACCGGUGGCUCGAGUGGUGGCCACUAUUACUGGGCUUAAAGCGUCCGUAGCUGGGUUGUUAAGUCUCCUGAGAAAUCUGCCGGCUUAACCGUCAGGCGUUCAGGAGAUACUGGCAAUCUCGGGACUGGGGGAGGUGAGAGGUACUCCGGGGGUAGGAGUGAAAUCCUGUAAUCCUCGGGGGACCACCUGUGACGAAGGCGUCUCACCAGAACAGCUCCGACAGUGAGGGACGAAAGCUGGGGGAGCAAACCGGAUUAGAUACCCGGGUAGUCCCAGCUGUAAACGAUGCGCGUUAGGUGUGUCGGUAACCACGAGUUACCGAGGUGCCGUAGGGAAACUGCUAAACGCGCCGCCUGGGAAGUACGGUCGCAAGGCUGAAACUUAAAGGAAUUGGCGGGGGAGCAC
rnacentral:rRNA from 1 species